rnacentral:rRNA from 1 species
CAGUCGCCGCGGUAAUACGUAGGGUCCGAGCGUUGUCCGGAAUUAUUGGGCGUAAAGGGCUCGUAGGCGGUUUGUUGCGUCGGGAGUGAAAACCCAGGGCUUAACUUUGGGCUUGCUUUCGAUACGGGCAGACUUGAGGCAUUGAGGGGAGAACGGAAUUCCUGGUGUAGCGGUGAAAUGCGCAGAUAUCAGGAGGGACACCGGUGGCGAAGGCGGUUCUCUGGCAAUGUUCUGACGCUGAGGAGCGAAAGUGUGGGGAGCGAACAGGAUUAGAUACCCCUGUAGUCCCUGUCUCUUAUAC